AACGAACGCUGGCGGCAUGCCUAACACAUGCAAGUCGAACGAGACCUUCGGGUCUAGUGGCGCACGGGUGCGUAACGCGUGGGAACCUGCCCUUAGGUUCGGAAUAACUCCCCGAAAGGGGUGCUAAUACCGGAUAAUGUCUUCGGACCAAAGAUUUAUCGCCUUUGGAUGGGCCCGCGUUGGAUUAGCUAGUUGGUAGGGUAAAAGCCUACCAAGGCGACGAUCCAUAGCUGGUCUGAGAGGAUGAUCAGCCACACUGGGACUGAGACACGGCCCAGACUCCUACGGGAAGCAGCAGUGGGGAAUAUUGGACAAUGGGCGAAAGCCUGAUCCAGCAAUGCCGCGUGAGUGAUGAGGGCCUUAGGGUUGUAAAGCUCUUUUACCCGGGAUGAUAAUGACAGUACCGGGAGAAUAAGCUCCGGCUAACCCCGUG
rnacentral:rRNA from 1 species